rnacentral:misc_RNA from 1 species
UGCAACACCACCACCAGAUAAACCACUAUCAAAUAUUUAAUUAUUAAUUAAAUUCCUAAUCCUUCUAAACAAUCAUUACAAAUAUAGUGCAGCCAAAACUCAUUAAUACACACUCAGAAUAAUAGAUCUGAUACAAAAAAAAAAUCUAGAGCUCUGCAUUUGAAUUUUGUGGUUACUCGGUUUUUUAUUUAAUAAAAAAAAAAUUGAAUGUGCAUUAUACAACCAUUAUUCAUUAUUAGCUUAGCUCCAAUUAAAAGAUUUCCUCAAUUAAAAAAAAAAAUAUUUCUGCCGAAGAAUAAAAUUGAGCAGAGAGAGCGGAAAAAGGAUAAAAAGACGAGACCAUUCCAUAGAUCAGAACUUACAAAAUCUCUCCAUUUUAAAUAAACCUAUGAAUCAGAGGAACCUUUUGCUGAAAGCAAACAUAACACGAAGCCACAUUUCAUAUAUAUGUAGAGAGAGAGAGAGAG